UAAGGUCUUGACAUACCGAUGACAGGUCUAGAGAUAGAUUUUCCCUUUAGGGCAUCGGAUACAGGUGGUGCAUGGUUGUCGUCAGCUCGUGUCGUGAGAUGUUGGGUUAAGUCCCGNAACGAGCGCAACCCCUAUUGUUAGUUGCCAUCAUUAAGUUGGGCACUCUAGCGAGACUGCCAGUAAUAAACUGGAGGAAGGUGGGGAUGACGUCAAAUCAUCAUGCCCCUUAUGACCUGGGCUACACACGUGCUACAAUGGGAAGUACAACGAGUUGCGAGGCGGUGACGCCAAGCUAAUCUCUUAAAGCUUCUCUCAGUUCGGAUUGUAGGUUGCAACUCGCCUACAUGAAGUCGGAAUCGCUAGUAAUCGCGGAUCAGCACGCCGCGGUGAAUACGUUCCCGGGCCUUGUACACACCGCCCGUCACACCACGAGAGUUUGUAACACCCGAAGUCGGUGAGGUAACCGUAAGGAGCCAACCGCCUAAGGUGGGAUAGAUGAUUGGGGUGAAGUCGUAACAAGGUAAGCGUAGAUGA
rnacentral:rRNA from 1 species